rfam:Glycine max cultivar Williams 82 chromosome 1, whole genome shotgun sequence.
UUCUUAUUGGAUGAUAACUGCCGCAUAUCAUGUUCUGAAUGAAUGUCAACUCCAUAAAAGAUGUUCUUAUUGUUGUUUUCAUUAACUAAUUAGAACAUGACACGUGACAGUCAUCAUCC